AACGAACGCUGGCGGCAGGCCUAACACAUGCAAGUCGAGCGAGACCUUCGGGUCUAGCGGCGGACGGGUGAGUAACGCGUGGGAACGUGCCCUUUGGUUCGGAAUAGCCCCGGGAAACUGGGAGUAAUACCGGAUAAGCCCUACGGGGGAAAGAUUUAUCGCCAAAGGAUCGGCCCGCGUUGGAUUAGGUAGUUGGUGGGGUAAUGGCCUACCAAGCCGACGAUCCAUAGCUGGUUUGAGAGGAUGAUCAGCCACACUGGGACUGAGACACGGCCCAGACUCCUACGGGAGGCAGCAGUGGGGAAUCUUAGACAAUGGGGGAAACCCUGAUCUAGCCAUGCCGCGUGAGCGAUGAAGGCCUUAGGGUUGUAAAGCUCUUUUCUCAGGGAAAAAGAAAGUGAUUGUACUUGAGAAGAAAGGACCGGCUAACUUCGUGCCAGCCGCCGCCGUAAGAC
rnacentral:rRNA from 1 species